GACGAACGCUGGCGGCGUGCCUAAUACAUGCAAGUGGGACGCAAGGGAACACACUGUGCUUGCACACCGUGUUUUCUUGAGUCGCGAACGGGUGAGUAACGCGUAGGUAACCUGCCUAUUAGCGGGGGAUAACUAUUGGAAACGAUAGCUAAUACCGCAUAAUAUUAAUUAUUGCAUGAUAAUUGAUUGAAAGAUGCAAGCGCAUCACUAGUAGAUGGACCUGCGUUGUAUUAGCUAGUUGGUAAGGUAAGAGCUUACCAAGGCGACGAUACAUAGCCGACCUGAGAGGGUGAUCGGCCACACUGGGACUGAGACACGGCCCAGACUCCUACGGGAGGCAGCAGUAGGGAAUCUUCGGCAAUGGACGAAAGUCUGACCGAGCAACGCCGCGUGAGUGAAGAAGGUUUUCGGAUCGUAAAGCUCUGUUGUAAGUCAAGAACGUGUGUGAGAGUGGAAAGUCACACAGUGACGGAGCUACCAGA
rnacentral:rRNA from 1 species